rnacentral:lncRNA from 1 species
AUGUACUGGACCUGGAGGAUCCUCUUCUUGGUGGCAGCAGCAACAGGUGUCCACUCACAGGUGCAGCUGGUGCAGUCUGGGCCUGAGGUGAAGAAGCCUGGAGCCUCAUUGAAGGUUUCCUGCAAGGCUUCUGGAUACACCUUCACAAGCUAUGCUAUCAGCUGGGUAUGACAGGCCCAUGGACAAGGGCUUGAGGAAAUGGGAUGGAUCAACACCAACACUGGGAACCUAACGUAUGCCCAGGGCUUCACAGGACGGUUUGUCUUCUCCAUGGACACCUCCGUCAGCAUGGCAUAUCUUCAUAUCAGCAGCCUAAAGGCUGAGGACACG